UACGAAGGGGGCUAGCGUUGCUCGGAAUUACUGGGCGUAAAGGGCGCGUAGGCGGAUAUUUAAGUUAGAGGUGAAAGCCCAGGGCUCAACCCUGGAAUAGCCUUUAAUACUGGAUAUCUUGAGUUCGGGAGAGGUGAGUGGAACUCCGAGUGUAGAGGUGAAAUUCGUAGAUAUUCGCAAGAACACCAGUGGCGAAGGCGGCUGUCUGGUCCGGUUCUGACGCUGAGGCGCGAAAGCGUGGGGAGCAAACAGG
rnacentral:rRNA from 1 species